rnacentral:rRNA from 1 species
GCAUAUCAAUAAGCGGAGGAAAAGAAACCAACAGGGAUUGCCUCAGUAACGGCGAGUGAAGCGGCAAGAGCUCAAAUUUGAAAGCUGGCCCCCUCGGGGUCCGCAUUGUAAUUUGCAGAGGAUGCUUCGGGAGUGGCCCCCAUCUAAGUGCUCUGGAACGGGCCGUCAUAGAGGGUGAGAAUCCCGUAUGGGAUGGGGUGUCCGCGACCAUGUGAAGCUCCUUCGACGAGUCGAGUUGUUUGGGAAUGCAGCUCUAAAUGGGUGGUAAAUUUCAUCUAAAGCUAAAUAUUGGCCGGAGACCGAUAGCGCACAAGUAGAGUGAUCGAAAGAUGAAAAGCACUUUGAAAAGAGAGUUAAAAAGCACGUGAAAUUGUUGAAAGGGAAGCGCUUGCGACCAGACUCGCCUGCGGGGUUCAGCCGGUAUUCGUACCGGUGUACUUCCCCGUGGGCGGGCCAGCGUCGGUUUGGGCGGCCGGUCAAAGGCCCUCGGAAUGUAACGCCUCUCGGGGCGUCUUAUAGCCGAGGGUGCCAUGCGGCCAGCCCGGACCGAGGAACGCGCUUCGGCACGGACGCUGGCAUAAUGGUCGUAAGCGACCCGUCUUGAAACACGGACCAAGGAGUCUAACAUCUACGCGAGUGUUCGGGUGUCAAACCCGUGCGCGCAGUGAAAGCGAACGGAGGUGGGAACCCUCACGGGUGCACCAUCGACCGAUCCUGAAGUCUUCGGAUGGAUUUGAGUAAGAGCGUAGCUGUUGGGACCCGAAAGAUGGUGAACUAUGCCUGAAUAGGGCGAAGCCAGAGGAAACUCUGGUGGAGGCUCGCAGCGGUUCUGACGUGCAAAUCGAUCGUCAAAUUUGGGUAUAGGGGCGAAAGACUAAUCGAACCAUCUAGUAGCUGGUUCCUGCG